AAGGCAGCAACGGAUCGCAGCAGCCCCUGUUUUCUUGUCAUAUUCUUUAAAUAUAUCUGAAUUCCGAUCGAGUCCAACGAUGAGGCCACAGCCCGUCUUUCCGCUCGAAGCCAAGCUGCUUGCCCUCGAUUCUUCCCUCGCCGGAUUCUGUCAUCAGCUCCUGCGAUCUCGUCUCUCUUUCGCAUUAUUAUCGGAUUGAUGGAUAACUUUCUUUUCUUUCUUUCUUUCUUUCUUUCUUUGUCCUUCCCUUUCUCGUCAGAGCAAAGCAAAAAAAAUCUUUCCGCUGCGGGUCUUCUCAACUCCCAUCUCCUCUUCGCUCCUUCUUCCUUCUCUUUUUUCUGUUCUUUCACUUCGUUUUUCUUUUUCUGGUGCUUUGUUUUGUUUCCUCUCAAGAACGCAAGCGGACAUUGUUUUAGUUUAGGGGCAAGGGCGUGAUUCUUUUGUUCCCUUUCUUGAAAUAAAAAGCGAAGAAAUUCUUUCGCGGGAUUCCGUCCGAUCCCAACCAGGGCCGGGCGGCCUCCAAUGAGCGUGGAGGGAUAAUAAGCGCAGGGAGACUAAUGGAGACCAGAAAGGUCGGCAAGUAUGAGGUCUGCCGGACUAUCGGGGAGGGCACCUUCGCCAAGGUCAAAUUCGCCAUCAACACCGAAACCGGAGAGAGCGUCGCCAUGAAGGUCCUCGCCAAGGCCACCAUCCUCAAGCACAAGAUGGUCCAUCAGUUAUGCCUUUUCUUCUUCCCCUUCUCCUUCUCCUUCUUCUUCCGUUUUUUCGUGCUCACCGAAUUUGACAAGACCCCGCCUGAAUUAUUGCUUCCUCUUCUAAUUAUGUCCUGCCGCCUCCAUUCUUUUGACUCAUAAUUCUAGGACGGGAAAGAUCUUUAGAUUGCGCGGAGAAAAACAUGAGCAUUUGCUGCCCUUUUUCUCGAGUAUCGGUUGUUCCCCAUGAUUUUGUUCAGGGAAGGGAAUUGAUGAAAACAGUCCACUGUUUUUCCAACUCAGUAGAUAGAAGUCUCCCUUGAAGCCCAAAACAUCAUGAUCUCAUUUCAAAGCUUGUUCAUUAAAUUCCAAAAAUUCUUAAACUAAGUGAGCCAGAGGAGGAGGGAAAAAAGGAAAAAUACUGUUGUGGUUGAAAUUUGGCCUGAGGGUGACCAAGCCGGACGAAGCAAGGAGAAACAAUACAAAGCAAUUCAAAACACUCAGAAACUGCUAACUUAACCAUCGGAGGGCCUUCGCCGGAAUCCCCAGCCAAGGCUUUGUGCAGGUACAUCCGAGCGCAGGAGGUAGCUCCCUUUCUCCGUCCCGGCCGGCGGCUUCUGAGCUUCGUCCGGCAUGGUCACCCUCAGGCCAAAUUUCAACCACAACAAAUACAAUAGGUGCAGGACCGGGAUAAAGAUAUGCAAUCCACAGUCGAUUACUUAGAAUCAUCACAUUGUUGACUUAUUUCAAACGAACAUAGGUUUUGGAAAUCUAAAUCGGCCAAGACUUUGAAAAGGAUGAACAACGUUCAUCUGCUUUCGUUUUAAUUUCUGUUUUCAGUGGCUCAACGCAGGAUUCGAGAUUGGAUGAUUAAGGUGGAUGAUCAACAUCAAUUUGACAGUGCGUUAAAGAGAGAAAAAGAAAAAAAAUCCCUCAAAGGUUUUUGGGAAACGUUGACAUUCUCCUGAGCUUGGCUUGUUCCAACGUUAAUGUGUUCACAUGCAUCCAAUGUAUUAGACCACAAGCCUCUGAGAACACAACCUAAAUUGCUAGCAGACAACACGGCAGGAACUUUCAGCUAACCCUGCAUAGUGAUGAUGGCAGAUGAUUUUGUAUGCCAUGUAGUCUAUUGCAGCACAGAGUUCUAGAAAUAAUAGAGAGAUGCUAAAAACGAUUAGAAACAAGUGUAGCAGAUAAUUUCAUGGAGUUGGACUUCUUCACACAACAUGUGGGACCCCAAACUAUGUUGCUCCUGAGUAAUUUUGCCAAGUUAUUUGCCAUACACUGGUAUAAAAACAAGCAGCUGGGCUUCUAGGAACUCCAGCAACAAGGUUUUGAUGGUUCCGCAGCAGAUACAUGGUCAUGUGGAGUCAUCCUAUAUGUUUUAAUGGCUGGAUAUCUUCCUUUUGACAAGACUGAUUUUCCAACCUUGUAUAGAAAAGGGAUCACUGACAUUCUUGUCAGCGAACAUUUUUAUAAGUAUGAUUUCAGGGAAUACAUUUUCUCAAGCAACAAACAUACUGUCAUUAAAUCUGCAGUCCAUCCAUGAAGAUGCCCUUCCAAUUCCUUAUGAGCAAGGAAAUAAUGUUACCGUCUUGUGGCCUUUGACUUGGAUAAUUGCACUAUGGUGUUAGAGAUCAUUCUUUUGCCUACGUGCAUGCUCGUUGAAUUACAUAUGCAUUUCUAUAGUGUCUACUAAGUAUAUAAACUAUGUGUAUAGGUCUAGGAUUAGGAUAUUCUGAAAUGCUUUCAUCAUUAUAUCAAAGGCAUCGAGAGUUAAGAUCUUAACUGGAGAAUGUUGAAGGGCGUCUUAUAUAAAAAGGGGAUUAUUCAAAUUCAGGAUGACAAUUCCAAUGUAAAUUCAAAAAGUCAUUACUUUACAAAAUCUUCUUUAUUUAAGAUGUAACUAUUUUAGAUGCUUUAAUUGGGUGGACAGUUUGACUAGAUAAUCAUAACUAAAUCUAAUUGAAAUGAUUAAACUAAAAUAAUGGAAAGUUGGGAACUGAUUUCAUCUAAACUUCUGAGAUUUUUGUCAAGUAAUUAGACAAAGUGUUGGACGUUUGUAACAAUUCAGAACAAGCCAUAGUAAGAUUGGGAAAAUGAGAAUUUUUUGAUAAAAACUUAGAUUGAUUUGAUAACUUUCAUUAUUUUGGAGAAAUAUGUCACGACAGAGUUAGCUAUAUUCAGAAAAUCAGUACUUCAAUCCUUAGUAUGUUGCUUCAAUCCUUAAUAUGUCACAUGCUUUCUGUCUCUGCUUAGAUAGUUUAAUAAAUUUAUAUCGAGGAGUGAGAUAGGAGCAAGAGUACAGGAGCUACUGGGUUGGGUCCAGGUUUUAGUACACCUGGACCUAGACCUCUUGGAGUUUUGGGUCUAAGUUUUGUUUCAUGCCUAUUUGAAGGACUGGAUCAGGUCUUAACUCGAGCAAUAAAAAUAUCAUAAGACCCAUCUGGUUUUCAGGCCGGUUCAAGUAUGUUAAGACCUGUGUCUGACCUAAUAGUCUGAGCAAUUAGUCAAGUUAAAACUAUCCAUGCUUUGAGAAUCUUAUUAAUGUAACAUCCAAUUAUGUGCUGCAAAAGUUAAAACAUGAUCAACAAGCAUUUGAUAGUUACCCAUAUAACAAUGAUUGAGGAAAAACAUAAAAUAUACACUUGAUCUAAAGUCAAGUUCAAACACCAAACAUGUCCUAACAUGGGAUUAUUUUUAUCUAUCCCUUUUAAGUUAUAGAACAUUCAUAUACAAAGAGUUCAGAAUUGAAGGGUAUAAAUAAAACUGAUAUUAUAUAAAUAGUAUAAAUGAGGUUAUUCGUCAGGACUGAAUUAGGUCAGGUCUAAAAACCUUAAACCUAGACGUGACGUGAAAUUUUCAAUGGGUCUGACUUUGAACCCAUACCCCCAACCCAUUCAUUGGUGUGUCAUAGCGGGGUCGACGGGGACCAGGUUGGGUAACGGGUUUAUGGGUUGGAGUAACAGCCCUAAGUGGAAGUGGGAGUGCCGGGGGGGGGGGGGGGGGGGGUGGGUAAGCAAAGUUAAAGAAUAAUCUUGACAAAGUGAACUGGAGGAAAUGCUGAUUCAAUUGAGUAUCAAAAUUCAAAGGUCAUUAGAAGUGUCCUAUGCUCUGACUUGUAUAAAGUGAUUUUAUAAUUGCUAAUAUCACCAAAUAUGAAUUUCGCACUGAACUGACAUGAUCUCUGUUCCCCUAACUGCUGUAUUGUUCCAGAAGCUUGCUUUCCACAAUGCAGUGCAAAUAUUCCUGACCACUUAAAAGUUAGAUUCCUUUACUUUCAAUCUGCUACAUUAGCUGUUUUCAGUGCUGACAUAUCUGAUGACUUUGCAGAUCAAUGCAGCAGAAUUUUCCUGCCCACCUUGGUUUUCUUCAGAAGUUAAAUUGAUGAUACCAAAAAUCAGUAUUGGAUGCUGGCUGCCAUGCUUUGGGCUAUGGACUGUGAGAGGUAUCCGUAGAUGGGCUUUUUUUAUCGUAUGAUGAUGGUUGCUAAGGAGCAGAUCAGAUAGGCAGAUCCAUUGAAUGCCUGAGUACAUAGACAUCAUUGAGCAGAUGCAGGACUACCAAAUGGGUAGGACGCUGCAUCUAGCAAUGUGAUAUGCAAGAUGGAGCCUGAUCCAGAUGUCGUAACACAAUGUUUUGAGUAGGUUAAUUAAUUUAGUUCUCCAAGAAUGGCAAGCUGGAGCAUAUCAUCUGGAGACCAACAGAAGCAGCUGCUAAAUCUUCACUGCGCAGGACAACAACUUGCUGAACUACUCUAAGAUCUGUUGCAAAUGUAAUAAUUAGUGCUUGUAGCUCAUCCCAUGUGCAUCGACGGGCCAAUGUGAGAGGAACCAGUUGUUGCCGCCACCGUCAUCCAUAUGUCAAACCAGUUUGUGAGGUAUUCAGGUGUAUUUAUAUGAGGAGCAUCAUUCAAAUCGCUUCCUUAUUCGAAAUGACUUGUAGUAAUUGUUGCUGGCUGUUUGUCCAUAAAGAACAGAUUCUUUAUGUAGUUGCAGUCUGUACAUAUACGAUAAUCCGAGGUCACUAGUAAUGAAGUUUUGCUGAAGAUCCUUCCCAUUCUUUUCUCUAAAA